rnacentral:rRNA from 1 species
GUCCACGCCCCUAUCACCCUGAACACGCCUGAUCUCAGAAGCUAAGCAGGGUUAGGGACGGUUAGCACUUGGAUAGGAGACUGCCUGGGAAUAUGCGGGUGCUGUCGGCU